CCUACGGGAGGCAGCAGUGGGGAAUAUUGCACAAUGGGCGCAAGCCUGAUGCAGCGACGCCGCGUGAGGGAUGACGGCCUUCGGGUUGUAAACCUCUUUCAGCAGGGACGAAGCGCAAGUGACGGUACCUGCAGAAGAAGCACCGGCCAACUACGUGCCAGCAGCCGCGGUAAUACGUAGGGUGCAAGCGUUGUCCGGAAUUACUGGGCGUAAAGAGCUCGUAGGCGGUUUGUCGCGUCGUCUGUGAAAACCAGCAGCUCAACUGUUGGCUUGCAGGCGAUACGGGCAGACUUGAGUAUUUCAGGGGAGACUGGAGUUCCUGGUGUAGCGGUGAAAUGCGCAGAUAUCAGGAGGAACACCGGUGGCGAAGGCGGGUCUCUGGGAAAUAACUGACGCUGAGGAGCGAAAGCGUGGGUAGCGAACAGGAUUAGAUACCCUGGUAGUCCACGCCGUAAACGGUGGGCGCUAGGUGUGGGUUUCCUUCCACGGGAUCCGUGCCGUAGCUAACGCAUUAAGCGCCCCGCCUGGGGAGUACGGCCGCAAGGCUAAAACUCAAAGGAAUUGACGGCUGAGACGNGCGAGACGACACGAGGGAGGAGG
rnacentral:rRNA from 1 species